AACGAACGCUGGCGGCAUGCCUAACACAUGCAAGUCGAACGAGACCUUCGGGUCUAGUGGCGCACGGGUGCGUAACGCGUGGGAACCUGCCCUUAGGUUCGGAAUAACUCCCAGAAAGGGGUGCUAAUACCGGAUAAUGUCUUCGGACCAAAGAUUUAUCGCCUUUGGAUGGGCCCGCGUUGGAUUAGCUAGUUGGUAGGGUAAAAGCCUACCAAGGCGACGAUCCAUAGCUGGUCUGAGAGGAUGAUCAGCCACACUGGGACUGAGACACGGCCCAGACUCCUACGGGAGGCAGCAGUGGGGAAUAUUGGACAAUGGGCGAAAGCCUGAUCCAGCAAUGCCGCGUGAGUGAUGAAGGCCUUAGGGUUGUAAAGCUCUUUUACCCGGGAUGAUAAUGACAGUACCGGGAGAAUAAGCUCCGGCUAACUCCGUG
rnacentral:rRNA from 1 species